AAGGCAUUACAUGGUAAUCAUCAUGCUGGAUUGAGAUGGGUGUGAACUGCUAAAAAGUUCAAACCAAAAUUGUACAUAAACGUGAUUUGCAUUGACUUUUUGGAUCACCUCCAAUUUUAAGUUAAAACCUAGACAUAUAAUUUGAUAUAGUUCAGUACAGUUUGACCUGCAGUUCUGAAAGGGAUAAUUAACAUCAUGCAUUAAAGAAAG
rnacentral:misc_RNA from 1 species